CCGUUUUUAGAACAUUGCUUUGUUAUCUGAUAUAUCUUUUAUGGAAGGUUUCUUGAUUCUUACACAUUGCUUCCUUUGGAGUGGAAGGAGCUGUCAUUCUAAUAAUCGUCAAAUACUAAUACAGAUUAUUGUAGUUCUUCUAUAAGAAUGAUUAUAGUUGGAAAAAUUUCUGAGACUGUCAUGUUUAGACUUUUGUCAACUCCUAAUUCAGUCUCGUUUUGUUAGUUCAUUGG
rnacentral:lncRNA from 1 species